GAGUUUGAUCGUGGCUCAGGAUGAACGCUAGCGGCAGGCUUAAUACAUGCAAGUCGAGGGGCAGCAGGUCUGUAGCAAUACAGAUGCUGGCGACCGGCAAACAGGUGCGGAACACGUACUGAACCUUCCUUUAAGUGGGGAAUAGCCCAGGGAAACUUGGAUUAAUACCCCGUAACAUAAUGAAGUGGCAUCACUUUAUUAUUAUAGCUCCGGCGCUUGAAGAUGGCAGUGCGGCUGAUUAGGUAGUUGGCGGGGUAACGGCCCACCAAGCCUACGAUCAGUAACUGGUGUGAGAGCACGACCAGUCACACGGGCACUGAGACACGGGCCCGACUCCUACGGGAGGCAGCAGUAAGGAAUAUUGGGCAAUGGACGCAAGUCUGACCCAGCCAUGCCGCGUGGAGGAUGAAGGUCCUCUGGAUUGUAAACUUCUUUUAUAUGGGACGAAAAAGGGUCUUUCUAGAUCAACUGACGGUACCAUAUGAAUAAGCACCGGCUAACUCCGUGCCAGCC
rnacentral:rRNA from 1 species